rnacentral:rRNA from 1 species
UCCCAGUUCGGAUUGCAGGCUGCAACCCGCCUGCAUGAAGUUGGAAUCGCUAGUAAUCGCGGAUCAGCAUGCCGCGGUGAAUACGUUCCCGGGCCUUGUACACACCGCCCGUCACACCAUGAGAGUCGGGAACACCCGAAGUCCGUAGCCUGACCGCAAGGGGGGCGCGGCCGAAGGUGGGUUCGAUAAUUGGGGUGAAGUCGUAACAAGGUACC